rnacentral:rRNA from 1 species
AGCGAACGCUGGCGGCAGGCCUACCCAUGCAAGUCGAACGAACUCUUCGGAGUUAGUGGCGGACGGGUGAGUAACACGUGGGAACGUGCCUUUUGGUUCGGAAUAACUCAGGGAAACUUGUGCUAAUACCGAAUGUGCCCUUCGGGGGAAAGAUUUAUCGCCAUUAGAGCGGCCCGCGUCUGAUUAGCUAGUUGGUGAGGUAACGGCUCACCAAGGCGACGAUCAGUAGCUGGUCUGAGAGGAUGACCAGCCACACUGGGACUGAGACACGGCCCAGACUCCUACGGGAGGCAGCAGUGGGGAAUCUUGCGCAAUGGGCGAAAGCCUGACGCAGCCAUGCCGCGUGAAUGAUGAAGGUCUUAGGAUUGUAAAAUUCUUUCACCGGGGACGAUAAUGACGGUACCCGGAGAAGAAGCCCCGGCUAACUUCGUG